GAUGAACGCUGGCGGCGUGCUUAACACAUGCAAGUCGAACGGACAGGCCCGGCUUUUGUGUGUUUCUUGUUUGGCGAACGCGUGAGUAACACGCGAGUAACCCCCCCUUGUCUUUCUGAUAUCUCCACGAAAAUCGGGCUAAUAUAGCGUAUAAUCUCUUGCUGCAUGGUGUUGGUUGGAAAGUUUCGGCGGUUGGGUAAGGUAUCGCGGCUUACCAGCUGGAUUGUGGGGUAGUGGCUUAACAAGGUUUUGACGGGUAGCCGGCCUGAGAGGGUGACCGGCCACAUUGGGACUGAGAUCCGGCCCAGACGCCUACGGGAGGCAGCAGUGGGGAAUAUUGCACAAUGGGCGGAAGCCUGAUGCAGCAACGCAGCGUGCGGGAUGACGGCCUUCGGGUUGUAAACCGCUUUCGCCUGUGACGAAGCGUGAGUGACGGUAAUGGGUAAAGAAGCACCGGCUAACUACGUG
rnacentral:rRNA from 1 species